GGAUAGCUCAAUUGGUAGAGCAUGGGACUUAAUCUCAGGGUUGUGGGUUUGAGCCCCACAUUGGACA